UCUGUUCAACUCAACUUUUAUUAGUUUUCUCCAGAGUGUUCAUGCGGUUCCCUCCAGUUGGUGGUGAGAGGCGCGGGAGCAGGGAACCGACCGGCUCCUAUUUCCCCAUGAACCCUGGCCGGGUCAAGUGCAGCCACAGAUGAAGUCUUCUACCUCGAUAAGCAGGGCAGGAAGACUUCCUACAAAACCCUGCUGGCUCAUAACCAUGUCUCUCUUCUUCUCUUGAGGGGACCCAUACCUCAGUCUUCCUCUCUGGGUCCGUAUAUCUUUACACACUAAGGCAUCUAACGCGCACACACACUCUCAAAAAUCCUGGCUUCUAAGGAGCCACUCCAACCUUGUAAGACCUUUCCAGUGUGAUGGAAAAGACUGUCACUUGGACUCUCUGGGUCCCUUCUAAAUUAAACCUCAGUUUCACGGGUGAUUUACGAUAUCACAGAUAUACUUCCUAGAGAACCUACAAACCCCUUUCUUAGAAAGCCAACACCCAAAAUUGCAGCUUUAAUCCCAAUUAGCGAGCCCUGCCUCCCCUCCACCAUGUGC
rnacentral:lncRNA from 1 species